rnacentral:rRNA from 1 species
CCUACGGGUGGCAGCAGUGAGGAAUAUUGGUCAAUGGCCAGAAGGCUGAACCAGCCAUGCCGCGUGAAGGUCAGUGCCCUAUGGGCGUUAAACUUCUUUUGUGCGGGAGCAAUAAUGGUCACGUGUGGCCAGACGAGAGUACCGUACGAAUAAGCAUCGGCUAACUCCGUGCCAGCAGCCGCGGUAAUACGGGGGAUGCAAGCGUUAUCCGGAUUUAUUGGGUUUAAAGGGUGCGUAGGCUGUGAGGUAAGUCAGCGGGGAAAUGCCCCCGCUCAACGGGGGGAAGUGCCAUUGAUACUGCCUUGCUGGAAUGCGGAUGCCGUGGGAGGAAGGUGUGGGGUAGCGGUGAAAUGCAUAGAUAUCACACAGAACACCGAGUGCGAAGGCAUCUCACGAAUCCGCGAUUGACGCUGAUGCACGAAAGCGUGGGUAUCAAACAGGAUUAGAUACCCCAGUAGUC